rnacentral:rRNA from 1 species
AUUGAACGCUGGCGGCAGGCCUAACACAUGCAAGUCGAGCGAGCGGCGGACGGGUGAGUAAUGCCUGGGAAUUGCCCAGUCGAGGGGGAUAACAGUUGGAAACGACUGCUAAUUCCGCAUACGAUUGGAUUGCCCAGUGUGGAUUUGCUAGUUGGUGUGGUAAUGGAGCACCAAGGAGACGAUCCCUAGCUGGUCUGCGAGGAUGAUCAGCCACAAUGGAACGGAGACACGGUCCAGACGCCUACGGGAUGCAGCAGUGGGGAAUAUUGCACAAUGGGGGAAACCCUGAUGCAGCCAUGCCGCGUGGGUGAAGAAGGCCUUCGGGUUGUAAAGCACUUUCGGCGAGGAGGCGUUACUCGCAGAAGAAGCACCGGCUAACUCCGUGCCAGCCGCCGCGGUAAUAC